rnacentral:rRNA from 1 species
UACGAAGGGGGCUAGCGUUGCUCGGAAUCACUGGGCGUAAAGGGUGCGUAGGCGGGUUUUUAAGUCAGGGGUGAAAUCCUGGAGCUCAACUCCAGAACUGCCUUUGAUACUGAAGAUCUUGAGUCCGGGAGAGGUGAGUGGAACUGCGAGUGUAGAGGUGAAAUUCGUAGAUAUUCGCAAGAACACCAGUGGCGAAGGCGGCUAACUGGCCCGGUACUGACGCUGAGGCACGAAAGCGUGGGGAGCAAACAGG